CCCCACAAGGCGACGGACCCCAGCAAGGACCAUCCUCACAGGGUGAUGGACCUCAGCAAGGACCGCCCCCACAGGGCGACGGACCCCAGCAAGGACCAUCCUCACAGGGUGACGGACCCCAGCAGAGACCGCCCUCACAGGGUGACGGACCCCAGCAAGGACCGCCCCCACAGGGUGACGGACCCCAGCAGAGACCGCCCCCACAGGGUGACGGACCCCAGCAAGGACCGCCCCCACAAGGUGACGGACCCCAGCGGAGACCACCCCCACAAGGUGACGGACCCCAGCGGAGACCACCCCCACAAGGUGACGGACCCCAGCAGAGACCACCCCCACAAGGUGACGGACCCCAGCGGAGACCACCCCCUCCAAGAGGACAUCGUGUUCGCCGUUCUCCCCCACCUCCUCCUGGAGAACCCCAGGGACCACCGCCUCCAGGCCGGAGACCACAAAGACCUCCCCAAGGCCCACCUCCCCAGGGCCCACCACCCCAGUAAUCUGGAAUUCAAUGACAGGAAGAGGGGAUGGGCAGUCUCAUCAUGGCACAGCUGAAGUGAAUCUGACUAGGAACUAUGAGGUUGUGGGUUUGAUCCCUGACCUCACUCAGUGGGUUAAGGAUCCAGCAUUGCCAUGAGCUGUAGGUCACAGACGUGACUCAGAUCUGAUGUUGCUGUGGCUGUGGCGUAGGCCAGCAGCUAUAGCUCCGAUUGGACCCCUAUCCUGGGAAUCUCCAUGUCCUGAGAAUGUGACUCUAAAAAGCAAAAAAAAAGGGGGGGAUGAAGAGGGAAAAUUGGAGAAAAGUAGUCAAAAAUACAAACUUCCAGUUGAAGAUAAAUAAGUACUAGAGACGUAAUCUAAACAUAGUUAACCCUGCUAUAUGUAGAAAAGUUGUUAAAAGAGUAAAUCUUAAGGGUUCUCACUACAAAUGGCCACAAAGCAAGCCUCAGUAAACUGAAGAAAGCUGAAAUUGUACAAGACAUCUUUUCCAAGCACAAUGCUAUGAGACUAGAAAUCAACUACAAGGGAAAAUGUGCAAAAAACACAAACAUGUGGAGGCUACAUAAUAUGCUAUUAAACAACCAGUGGAUCACUGAAGAAAUCAAAGAGGAAAUAAAAAAUACCUAGAGACAAAUGAAAACA
rnacentral:lncRNA from 1 species